UUCCCCAUGGAAUGCUCAGGUCCGCCGCAUCUCCUGGGUCCCGUGGGGCGGUCGGCCGGCAGCUGGUCAUACGCGGUAUCCUCGUGCCGCGAUCGGCGCGCCGGCCGACCACUUU
rfam:Aureimonas sp. AT20, complete genome.